rnacentral:rRNA from 1 species
AUGCACGCUGGCGGCGUGCCUAAUCCAUGCCCGUCGAGCGAACGGACGAGAAGCUUGCUUCUCUGAUGUUAGCGGCGGACGGGUGAGUAACACGUGGAUAACCUACCUAUAAGACUGGGAUAACUUCGGGAAACCGGAGCUAAUACCGGAUAAUAUUUUGAACCGCAUGGUUCAAAAGUGAAAGACGGUCUUGCUGUCACUUAUAGAUGGAUCCGCGCUGCAUUAGCUAGUUGGUAAGGUAACGGCUUACCAAGGCAACGAUGCAUAGCCGACCUGAGAGGGUGAUCGGCCACACUGGAACUGAGACACGGUCCAGACUCCUACGGGAGGCAGCAGUAGGGAAUCUUCCGCAAUGGGCGAAAGCCUGACGGAGCAACGCCGCGUGAGUGAUGAAGGUCUUCGGAUCGUAAAACUCUGUUAUUAGGGAAGAACAUAUGUGUAAGUAACUGUGCACAUCUUGACGGUACCUAAUCAGAAAGCCACGGCUAACUACGUG